ACUGCUGCCUCCCGUAGGAGUAGGGGGAAUCUUCCACAAUGGACGAAAGUCUGAUGGAGCAACGCCGCGUGAGUGAAGAAGGUUUUCGGAUCGUAAAGCUCUGUUGUUGGUGAAGAAGGAUAGAGGUAGUAACUGGCCUUUAUUUGACGGUAAUCAACCAGAAAGUCACGGCUAACUACGUGCCAGCAGCCGCGGUAAUAC
rnacentral:rRNA from 1 species